rnacentral:lncRNA from 1 species
AGACAUUCAACUUCAUUCAAUACGAAUAGUUUCAUAUGACAAUAUAAGCUUACCUCGAUAGUUAACCAUGCAAUCAAAAUGCAAAUGUAUGUAUAUAAUAAUCUCGAGUCAUAAAAAAACAAACCGAUAGGUUAACUACUCGUCAAUGACUCUCAACUUUCCUUACUCUUGCGACAGCUUGACAUCGUAUUUAGCUACGUUCAAUAUUUCAAUAAAUAAAACAAUAUCAGUUUACACCCAAUUCACAUCUAAAUACAUACAUACCCACUCAUAUUUUUACAUUUUAUUCAAUUUAGUCCCUAUACUCAAAUUAUGCAUAUUUUUCGAUAAAUAGCAUCAAAUCAAAAUAUGAUUUCACAUUCUUUCAUUAGGGACUCUAUACUUUCUAUUUACAACAUAAUCUCAUGAUAGUUUUCAAUUUAUUCAAUUUAGUCCCUAAUGUUUCAAAAUUAUCUAAUAAGCUUAAUUAGCUUUACAAUUUAGUCCUUAUCAUGAUUUAAGCUUAUUAACUAUCAAAUCCAAUCCCAAUUCAUCAAUGUCUCUAUAACGACAACUUGCAAAAAGCUUAAAAAUUCAAUAAAUUGAUACAUGGGCUAGCUAAAUCAAACUCUCAUGAUCAUAAAUCUAUAAAAAAUUGAUGAAAAUAACUUGAUUACCUUGGUAAUUUUGGUAUGGUCGAAUGAAUGAAAAACUUUGAGUUUUUUCUUCUUUUAUUUCUUUCUUCAUCUUCAACCUUCAAUCAGGUCAAUCCAACCCAGUUUAGACCCAAUUUUAUUAAUCAACCAUCUCCCAAUAUAUACACAAAAAAUUUAAAACAUCAAGACAUAAAUAAAAAUGGCUCUCAUAUCAAUUGUUAGAAAAUCUAUAAAAAUAUUAGAUACCUCUAAUAUUUUAUAUAAAAUAUAAACAUACUCAUAUAUAUUAAAACAUGAAAAAUUAACUAAAAGUGGAAUAUAAAGUUAAUCUCUAGUCAUCGAUGUUUAUUUUAUGUACUCUUAACGACUCACUUUGAUGGUAUAUGUUUUUACGAAUUGCUAAGCAUAGGGACCUUUUCAUAGCUUUUAUAUAUAUGGGCAUGUAUAUGCACAUUUUCUCAUAACAAAACGUAUUGUAUUCAUACAUUUUAUGCUUAUUUUAAGUGAAGCAUUAACAUCUUCAAUAAAUACAUGAGUUAUUGAAUAAACUUAAGCAUGAUAUGUUAAUUUUGGUUACACCAUACCAUCAUUAAUAAUGUUUUUUUAUUAACAUAACUUAAAUAAAAAAUAAGGGUAACAUUUGAGAGUUUUAUAUAUACUUAACACUUAAAAAGAAGAAAAAAAACUUACAGCUUUUGGUAAAUUUUGGGGAGUUAUGGACUUAGGUACGGCAGCGGCCAACAAUUACAGCGACGUUUAUGGUGGAUUUUCUGAUAGUUGUUCUUUAUGUAUGAACAGUAGAGACAUGAAAGAGAUGAAGA